AAUAUACUCCUUCUUUCCGAAAAUACUUAUCGGAGAAAAAGAAAUAUCUAGAUGUGUUUUAGUUUUUAGAUACAUUCAUUUUUAUCCAUUUCUCCAAUAAAUAUUUUCGAAGGGAGGGAGUAUAUA
rnacentral:pre_miRNA from 2 species